rnacentral:rRNA from 1 species
CCUACGGGUGGCAGCAGUGAGGAAUAUUGGUCAAUGGCCGGAAGGCUGAACCAGCCAUGCCGCGUGAAGGUCAGUGCCCUAUGGGCGUUAAACUUCUUUUGUGCGGGAGCAAUAAUGGUCACGUGUGGCCAGACGAGAGUACCGUACGAAUAAGCAUCGGCUAACUCCGUGCCAGCAGCCGCGGUAAUACGGGGGAUGCAAGCGUUAUCCGGAUUUAUUGGGUUUAAAGGGUGCGUAGGCUGUGAGGUAAGUCAGCGGUGAAAUGCCCCCGCUCAACGGGGUGAAGUGCCAUUGAUACUGGGUUGCUGGAGUGCGGAUGCGGUGGGAGGAAUGUGUGGUGUAGCGGUGAAAUGCAUAGAUAUAACGCAGAACACCGAUUGCGAAGGCAUCUCACGAAUCCGCGAUUGACGCUGAUGCACGAAAGCGUGGGGAUCAAACAGGAUUAGAUACCCUAGUAGUC